UCAACCAACUGAGCCACCCAGGCACCUUGGAUUUUUCAAUUUUCAGUUACUAGGUGGACACGAGAGUUUCUCAGCCUCACUAUCUCAGACUCCAAAGAUUCCAUGACCCUGGAGUUAGGAGUCUUAAUGCUCUCAUUCUGGAAUUUCUGGCCAUGAGGGACACCCUGUGGACUUCAUCAACACAAAUGGCAGAUAUGGAGGCUUCCAUCUCUCCUUGUUGGUGCCCUGAUCACCCUCUUAUGGAUUCACCACUGAGAGAGUCACACUUCGUGGUGGCAUGUCGGCAAAUGGGAGAAGAAGAUACAAAUCCUUUUGAACCAGCGCUGUGAAGUUUACAGUCCCAUUGCCUUUUC